AAUUCUUGUCUUACCAACACCAAAAUAGAAAUUAAGUGAAAAUAAAAAUCUCAUUAAUUUACCAAGACCAGUCCCCAUGCUUGCCUCAGAGCAACGUGAAAUGGUGCUAAAAUAGUUGAAGGCUUUUGCUUCUAACUUCAAUAUGCUCUUUAAAUAAAUAAGACCUACACCAUUUUUAACAGCACAUUACUAAACACGAGUGGGAGUCAUUUUGCCUAUGAAAGGCCUAUCGUAUAUCUAAAAAUAUUUUUUUCAAUGACGUGACUCUCCGCCAAUAAUUACAUUUAGAGGAUUGGAGGACUCUAAAUUAUUAUCUAAGGGGCAUUUUCCUGUAGGAUCUGUGAGAAUAUCUUAGGGGCUUUUAUAUACUUCUAAAUUAUUUAAUAAUAAUAAUUGCAUGGUUUAAAAAGUAACAGUAUUUUGGAGAUUUCAGUUUUAUUUAACCUAGAGUGAGCGAGAAAAAGGCCAUUCUUGAACAUGGGGUGAGACAUUCUCACUAAUUUGUAAAUAAAGCCAGUUUGUUAUUUAGAUGUAUUUAUUUCUGGAGAAACCUAACUUGAUUAUUUAGCAGACAUCACUUGCUUAUAUUCAUAAAGAUGAUGAACGAUCGACAAAGGCAAUCUGUAAUCUGCUGGCAUUACGGCACAACCUCCACAUCGCUCUAAUUACAGUCAGGAGUGUCACGACUUCCGCCGAAAUUGGCUCCCCUGCCUGUUCGGGCGGUGCUCGGCGGUCCUCGUCACCAUCCUACUAGCCGCAACCGAUCCCUUUUUCGUUUGUCUGUUGGUUUUGUCUUAUUAGUUUCACCUGUGUUUAUUUUAGUUUAAUUAGCUUCCCUAUAUGUAGAAGUUUGACCCGUCCUUGUUUUGUGCAGGAUUGUUUUUUGUUACUCUGUUGGUUGUGGUUUUCAUGUUGGUAUUCUCCGGACUGUUUGGUCCUGUGUUUGGGCUGGUCUGUUUUAUGCGCCCUGUAUGUUGGCGUGACAGUUUUUUGGCCAGAGAAUAAAUCACGAUUUACUGAACCCUGCUCUCUGCGCCUGAUUCCAACCCACCACUCCUAGUAUCCUGUGACAAGGAGACAGUUGAAGAAACUUGCGUGAACUUAUGGAAAGGCUAGGCCCAGAUCAAAGCUGGCGAGACAUUCAAUAAUGUCAUCUUCACAGACGAAUCAACCGAGCAAUUUGCUCAAAAAGGAAGAAGGAAAAAAAGGAAGACGAUCAAGAACGCCGAGUCCCAAGUAUCCGCUCAAACUCCAUGUGUGUGGGGCAACUUCUCGCCAGGGACCAGGCCCAUAUUUUUUAUGGUAUCAUGGCUCGAGAUUUCUUUGAGGAAGAAAUCAUCAAGAGAUAUGCUGGACCCUAUGUCAGAGAGGUGUUUUUGGGUACACAUAGUUUCUUUCAAGGUAGGAUUAUAGCAAUAUUGUGUUACGUUUAGGCCUAUGUACAUUUCUAUUAUUGUACCUAAUUUUGUCUGUUAGGCAAAUUAUGUUUUUUUCUCCAAAUGCAGAC
ensembl:lncRNA